GACUUCAAACAUUCAAAAGUUGAGUUGACUCUGCCAAACACUGACACAUUAUAGCACAUAAAUCAUGCUCAAUAGAUAUAUGAUACUUACUCUCCAGCUUUUGUCUUGCUUUCCACCGAGCGCUAUGAAGUGCCAGUUUUAGAGGGUGAGGUGGCGGUCGUUGCUCUCUUAUGUGACAUACUGGAGCAGAGGUGAGAGGUGAGAGCUCUUUCCGGGCUAAUCCUGAUUUAAUCUCUGUAAACUAAGAAGAAACCAGAAAAUCCUGCACACCAGGUCAUCAGUGAUCCGGCUAUCAUCAAAGAAGGAGGGCGCCACAGCUUGCAUGGCUCUGGUUUCAGAGCAGAUGUGCCCGGGUAUCAGGGAUCACCUGGGGAAGCCUCGGCCUCCUGGCAGGACCAGCUGCCCUCCUAGAACAGGCUGUCAGCUCUUAUUUAUCUAAUUGGUGUUACUGGUGAAGAGGCACUGACCCGCCACCCUUCACCCCUUCCACCAGCCUCCCUCCUCCUCCUCCACGAGGCCCUACCCCGGCCCUCUCAUUGGCCCUUAGACCUCAUGUCUCCAGCUCCGUACAUGCAAACCCACUACUUUUAUGCACCCUUGCACAUUGAACUCUGUUUAACCCGUAGUGAGCAAAGGCUCAUCACCAGUGACAGGUCAGACCCGGCUGACCGUCUCACCGCCAAGAGACUGAAGAGGGCCACGGAUCUGGCCUUUAGGCCAUGUUCAAAGUGAAAACACCCAUGAAAGUACCUGUAUGUUUUAAAAACACAUGGUACCUUCUCAACUACAGGCACCGUUGAGAAGAUGAAAUACAGACCUGGAUGUCUAGUUUGAAGACUUGUCAGAUGCCAAGACACUGCAGCGGAGCCGCAGUGCACUGACUCAUGAGGACGGAGAAGUAGAUAUCCUACUGCAGGGAUAUUCGACAGAGUUAUAAAGACCAGUGGACAGACAGGAAGUGUGGAAGGCUGACAGGAAGAGAGGCCCGAUUUUACUGCGCCAGCGCUAAACGGGAGUUUCGAAAUGGAGAAAGCAGAGAGGACAAGAGCAAGGAGGAGGAGGGGGGAGGAGUUGAGUUGACUGCCUGAGAAACGAAUACUGGCUCACUGAAAGAGUUUCAGUCAGGAAGGCACAGUGGCUGGCUUUCCUCCGCCACUCCGGCAUAUUUUUCCAUGAGAGCGCGAGAUGCACUGGGAAUACGAGAGCAGUCAACACUCUGGUUUUUGAGCAGCAGGGGCAGGAGCUCAGAGAAUGACAGCGUGUCUGUGGCGGGCAGAAACCCGAACUCUCUGAUCUCGUCUCAGAGUCUCCUGCCUCCCAGCUGUCACUGUGCCUCUGGCAUCCUACUCGGCCUCUCGCCCCCCUCCCGCUCCCUUUGAAGACGGCUACCCAGGAAAUUGAAAGCUGUUUUCAAACAAAGACAAGAGAGGAGAGAAGAGUACAGACACUGUGAAAAAGGGAGUGUGUGAAAAGAGGGUGAUGGAGAGGUUUUAGGUUAAAAAGGGUUAGAGAUGUUCUUCAGUGAGGCAAAAUCUAUCUUUACUGUCUGCGCUAUAGUUAAUCAAAUGCUGAUCAGACAGUAUCAUCUGUGAUGACGUGCUUCCUUCCUGGCUACAGCUACUUAAAACAGUGUGUGCAUUUGCGAUGACAUUUUAUAUCCUCUGAAAUUUGACAUUUUUUUGCAUUAAAUUGUUGAAUUGUGUUUAUUUAUUUGUUCAUUUAGAUCAGUUAAGUGUCCCAGGCUUACCCUAUACAUUAAAUAGGCAAGUUUGAGGCAUUAAAUGGUUGGUUUACUUUAAUCACAAUAAAGCUAACAUAUUUUCCUCACAAUUUGCCUCCUUUGUAUAAGGGUGGCCGCAGACAUUUUA